CGGAGGAUCCAAGCGUUAUCCGGAAUCAUUGGGUUUAAAGGGUCCGUAGGCGGUUUAGUAAGUCAGUGGUGAAAGCCCAUCGCUCAACGGUGGAACGGCCAUUGAUACUGCUAGACUUGAAUUAUUAGGAAGUAACUAGAAUAUGUAGUGUAGCGGUGAAAUGCUUAGAGAUUACAUGGAAUACCAAUUGCGAAGGCAGGUUACUACUAAUGGAUUGACGCUGAUGGACGAAAGCGUGGGUAGCGAACAGGAUUAGAUACCCUGGUAGUCCACGCCGUAAACGAUGGAUACUAGCUGUUGGGAGCAAUUUCAGUGGCUAAGCGAAAGUGAUAAGUAUCCCACCUGGGGAUACGGGCGCAAGCCUG
rnacentral:rRNA from 1 species